GAUUGAUCCUGCCGGACCUGACUGCUAUCGGAUUGGUACUAAGCCAUGCGAGUCGUUGUAGCAAUACAAGGCGGACUGCUCAGUAACACUCUAGUUAACUUAACCUAUGGAUGGGAAUAACCUCGGGAAACUGAGAAUAAUACCCAAUAGACCACAGUGCCUGGAAUGGCCUGUGGUUGAAAUGAUUUAUCGCCGUAGGAUAGGACUGCGGCCUAUCAGCUUGUUGGUGAGGUAAUGGCCCACCAAGGCUAUAACAGGUACGGGCUCUGAGAGGAGGGGCCCGGAGAUGGGUACUGAGACACGGACCCAGGCCCUAUGGGGCGCAGCAGGCGAGAAACCUUUGCAAUGUGCGAAAGCACGACAAGGUUAAUCCGAGUGUCUCCUGCUAAAGGAGUCUUUUGUCAGUUGUAGAAUCACUGGUGAAUAAGGGGUGGGCAAGUUCUGGUGUCAGCCGCCGCGGUAAAACCAGCACCUCGAGUGGUCAGGAGGUUUAUUGGGCCUAAAGCAUCCGUAGCCGGUUGCAUAAGUUUUCGGUUAAAUCUAUGCGCUUAACCGUAUAGGCCGCCGAAAAUACUUGUGCAGCUAGGGAGUGGGAGAGGUACCC
rnacentral:rRNA from 1 species